AGCACUGAAGCGAGCACCCGUGUGUCCUUGCACCCGUGGCGGGGUCUGAGCGGAGUUGCUGGUCAACUGGUGUCAGCGCUGUGAGAACGGUUGCUCCCCGCGUCUGUGCGUUUCCACACGCAGGGCACUGACUGGGACGCCGCGUGGAGCCCACCGCCUCUGGGAGCAGCAUUGACUUCUGGGCAAUGAGGACGCCUGGGGGGCUCUGGACUGAAGGUGCCCCUGGACCCAGCAGUGGCUCUUCUCUUGGUGGCCCCGCAGCUCAACACUCACCUCUCAUUCACUCGGUGUGGCUUUGCCGGGUGCUGGGCACUGUCUGGAUGGACAGGAGAGACUGAUGGAGGGGCCCACACUCUGGUGGUGGAAGGUCCUCUUUCCAAAGGCCACGUGCUGAGCUGAGCGGCGGCGAGCCAGAGGACGUGCCCGUGGAGGUGGAAGGCGCUCUGUCCCUCCAUGGCUGCAGGUGUUGCAAUAGCAUCCCCCUCCUUCCAAAACUUGGCAAAAGUCUCGAGGAGCAAACCAGCCACAUAUUUGCCGCUGCUCCUUCCUGAAGCUGGACUUUGUUUCUUCAGAAACACCGCGUCCUGCCUGCCUCUUAGACACGCCUGGACCUCCCGCAGUCUCUGCACGUGGCCUACCGGCCAUGGGGGACGCUGCCUUGCUGUCUGGGUUCCCGGCAUUUUAACCUCGUUGCGCCAGCUCCACGCAGCUGCGAAGGCUUUUCCGCUUCCCCUCCCAGAGACACCGCUUUGUGUACCUGGUUCAGGUCUGUCUGGAGAGAUUCCCAUCAGUGUGUGUGUGCGUGUGUGUGC